UACGUAGGGUGCGAGCGUUGUCCGGAAUUAUUGGGCGUAAAGAGCUUGUAGGCGGUUUGUCGCGUCUGCUGCGAAAAUCCGGGGCUCAACCCCGAACUUGCAGUGGGUACGGGCAGACUAGAGUGUGGUAGGGGAGACUGGAAUUCCUGGUGUAGCGGUGAAAUGCGCAGAUAUCAGGAGGAACACCGGUGGCGAAGGCGGGUCUCUGGGCCGAUACUGACGCUGAGGAGCGAAAGCGUGGGGAGCGAACAGG
rnacentral:rRNA from 1 species